rnacentral:rRNA from 1 species
UACGGAGGGGGCAAGCGUUGUUCGGAUUUACUGGGCGUAAAGGGCGCGUAGGCGGCCACCGCAAGUCGACUGUGAAAUCUCCGGGCUUAACUCGGAAAGGUCAGCCGAUACUGCGGGGCUAGAGUGCAGAAGGGGCAACUGGAAUUCUCGGUGUAGCGGUGAAAUGCGUAGAUAUCGAGAGGAACACCUGCGGCGAAGGCGGGUUGCUGGGCUGACACUGACGCUGAUUGUGCGAAAGCUAGGGGAGCGAACGGG